rnacentral:rRNA from 1 species
CCUACGGGAGACUGCAGUAGGGAAUCUUCCACAAUGGACGAAAGUCUGAUGGAGCAACGCCGCGUGAGUGAAGAAGGGUUUCGGCUUGUAAAGCUCUGUUGUUAGUGAAGAAAGAUAGAGGUAGUAACUGGCCUUUAUUUGACGGUAAUUACUUAGAAAGUCACGGCUAACUCCGUGCCAGCAGCCGCGGUAAUACGUAGGUGGCAAGCGUUGUCCGGAUUUAUUGGGCGUAAAGCGAGUGCAGGCGGUUCCAUAAGUCUGAUGUGAAAGCCUUCGGCUCAACCGGAGAAUUGCAUCUGAAACUGUUUGACUUGAGUGCAGCAGAGGAAGGUGGAACUCCAUGUGUAGCGGUGGAAUGCGUAGAUAUAUGGAAGAACACCAGUGGCGAAGGCAGCUCUCUGGACUGCAACUGACGCUGAUGCUCGAAAGCGUGGGUAGCGAACAGGAUUAGAUACCCCAGUAGUC